AGGCCACUGCUAUCAGAGUUCGAUUAAGCCAUGCGAGUCGAGAGGUGCAAGACCUCGGCAUACUGCUCAGUAACACGUGGACAACCUACCCUACGGAAGGGGAUAACCCCGGGAAACUGGGGAUAAUACCCUAUAGACUAUGGAUGCUGGAAUGCUCUGUAGCCGAAAGGUCAGCCGCCGUAGGAUGGGUCUGCGGCCGAUUAGGUUGUUGUUGGGGUAACGGCCCAACAAGCCUGUAAUCGGUACGGGUUGUGGGAGCAAGAGCCCGGAGAUGGAUUCUGAGACACGAAUCCAGGCCCUACGGGGCGCAGCAGGCGCGAAAACUUUGCAAUGCGGGAAACCGUGACAAGGGAACUCUGAGUGCCCGUAAAAUCGGGCUGUCCAUCGGUUUAAAAAACCGGUGAAGAAAGGGCCGGGCAAGACCGGUGCCAGCCGCCGCGGUAAUACCGGCGGCUCGAGUGGUGGCCACUAUUACUGGGCUUAAAGCGUUCGUAGCUGGUUUGUUAAGUCUCUGGGGAAAUCUUCCGGCUUAACCGGAAGGCGUCUCAGGGAUACUGGCAGACUAGGGACCGGGAGAGGUGAGAGGUACUCCAGGGGUAGGAGUGAAAUCCUGUAAUCCUUGGGGGACCACCUGUGGCGAAGGCGUCUCACCAGAACGGCUCCGACAGUGAGGGACGAAAGCUGGGGGAGCAAACCGGAUUAGAUACCCGGGUAGUCCCAGCCGUAAACGAUGUGCGUUAGGUGUAUCGGUGACCACGAGUCACCGAGGUGCCGAAGAGAAAUCGUGAAACGUACCGCCUGGGAAGUACGGUCGCAAGGCUGAAACUUAAAGGAAU
rnacentral:rRNA from 1 species